rnacentral:lncRNA from 1 species
CUAUUUCUCCUAUUUAUUCCUUUCUUUUUUCUAAAACCCUCUCCUUCCCUCCAAACUUCCAAACAAAGUUUUAGGUUUGAUGAUUUCCUAAGCCUUCCCCCUCAUGUACCGAAGGUUGGUGCUCCACCUUCCUCUUUCUCCUUGAUUUAAUUGUCUGUGUUUCAGUGGUUUGAAUACCACUUGUUCUUCUGCAUGGGUUGCAGGAUUGAAAUUCUUCCAACAUUUCCAGACCCAUGUUGCCUGCAAAUUGCUGCUACUUUUGUGUAUGAGAAUAUUUUCCCGCGAGGUACUGUAUAAGAAGAAGGCUGCUGUGAGAGAGAGAGAGAGAGAUUAGUUAAUUUGAGAGGGUAGGGUAGUGAUGAAUGAUGAUGGGAGGUGGGUGCUGAAAGAGAGAUAGAUGCAUGAGAGAGAGAGAGAGAUAAGAAAGCCAAUCAAGGUGGGGUGUGGGUGGUGGGAAUCAUAAAUACCAACACCAAUUAAGUCUAUUACUCCCUCCGUCGUUAGAGUGUGUAAAUCCUCUUUCCUUUUUUCAUAUUUUUUUUAAAAAGUUAUCAAUAUAAUUAAUAUGUCUAUUUUUUGUAUUAAUAUUAUUAAAUUGUCCUUUAU